GAUGAAGAACGUAGCGAAAUGCGAUACUUGGUGUGAAUUGCAGAAUCCCGUGAACCAUCGAGUCUUUGAACGCAAGUUGCGCCCGAAGCCAUUAGGCCGAGGGCACGCCUGCCUGGGCGUCACACGUCGUUGCCCCCCCAUCUACUCUUUCGGGAUUGCGGGGGGCGGAUGAUGGCCUCCCGUGCGCCUCGCCGCGCGGUUGGCAUAAAUGCCAAGUCCUCGGCGACGCACGCCACGACAAUCGGUGGUUGCGAAACCUCGGUUGCCCGUCGUGUGCGGUCGUCGCGCAUCGAGGGCUCGAAAAAAUUGCCGGGUUCCGGCUCGGCUUUCAACGCGACCCCAGGUCAGGCGGGGUUACCCGCUGAAUUUAAGCAUAUCAAUAAGCGGAGGA
rnacentral:misc_RNA from 1 species